rnacentral:rRNA from 1 species
CUCCGCAAUGGGCGAAAGCCCGACGGGGUCAGUCCGAGUGGUUCCCGCUGAGGGAACCUUUUGCCAGCUGUAAACAGGCUGGCGAAUAAGGGGUGGGCAAGUUUGGUGUCAGCCGCCGCGGUAAUACCAGCACCCCGAGUGGUCGGGACGAUUAUUGGGCCUAAAGCAUCCGUAGCCGGCCCAGUAAGUCCUCCGUUAAAUCCAACGGCUCAACCGUUGGGCUGCGGGGGAUACUGCUGGGCUAGGGGACGGGAGAGGCGAGGGGUAUUCCCGGGGUAGGGGUAAAAUCCACUGAUCCCGGGAGGACCACCAGUGGCGAAGGCGCCUCGCUAGAACGUGCCCGACGGUGAGGGAUGAAAGCUGGGGGAGCGAACCGGAUUAGAUACCCGGGUAGUCCCAGCCGUAAACGAUGUAGGCUCGGUGUUGGGCUGCCUCAGUGGCAGCCCAGUGCCGCAGGGAAGCCGUUAAGCCUACCGCCUGGGGAGUACGGCCGCAAGGCUGAAAC